UACGAAGGGGGCUAGCGUUGCUCGGAAUCACUGGGCGUAAAGGGUGCGUAGGCGGGUCUUUAAGUCAGGGGUGAAAUCCUGGAGCUCAACUCCAGAACUGCCUUUGAUACUGAGGAUCUUGAGUUCGGGAGAGGUGAGUGGAACUGCGAGUGUAGAGGUGAAAUUCGUAGAUAUUCGCAAGAACACCAGUGGCGAAGGCGCUCACUGGCCCGAUACUGACGCUGAGGCACGAAGGCCAGGGG
rnacentral:rRNA from 1 species